CCAUUAAUUCACUCAAGAAACUUUAUGGCUUGCCUUGUACAUAUCUAGCCUGUGCAUAGCCCUGAGGCAGGUGCUGAGAUAUAUCAAUGCCUGCCGCCAGAGAGCUCACAGGUGUCCCUGCACGCCUGGCACCCACUGUCUGCCCUGACCAGCCUGCUGUGGGCAGGGGGACAUGCUAUGAGAUGAUCUCAUAAUCCUGGAGAUCUAUGACUCAUAAUUCACCCCCUUGUGUUAAGCAAGAACUUUUCCCAUGUGAGUGUUUAUAAAUUACAGUGUCUGGAAAGAUAACUUGACAAGUUAUCUUGACACACCUUAAAGCCAUACAUAGAAGCCAGGAUAGAUGAAGGAAAGGUGGACUGGGUUCUCUCUGCCCUUUCACAAAGGAAGUGACUCAAGAUACCUGAUAUACUCUCAACCCUCAGAAAAUGAACCUCUUUCCAUUCACUUGAUCCCACCAGUCACAAAGCACUGACUCUGUCAUGCACCAGAGGGGCAACAUGAAUAAGAAGUGUUUACACUCUGAAGGAGUCGACCCAACCAAAGUGAGAGAUUCAGACAUGGAACAGAACCCCAAGUCAUCAUGUAAAGAAGUUCAGGCUACCCUGAUAGAGAAGCCAAGAAGAGAGAAUGAAGAUGCCCCAGCCAAAAACCAGCACCAACAGGUUAAAAGGAACCCUCCACUGUCUUAAAGGGUGAAUGCAGCUACCUGAGUGAGUCUAGGCAAGACCAUCAGACCUGCUGGCCAAUCCACAGGAUCACAAGGAAUAAUAAAUAGUUAUUGUUUCAGAUGUCCACAUGUGUCAUUGUGUGAGGUUGUUGGAGAAAACAUGUCGCAGCUGGGUACAUUCAUGAUGACCAGUUCAACAUGGGGCAAGGCUCAGUGUCUGCUGCUGGAGGCAUCCUCUGCUUUCAUAGCAUAAUCUUCAUGCAAUCACCAGUGAAGAGGGACUCGCAGCAUCAUAUGUAAGAUGCCUAUAGCUGACCAGAAAGCUGUUCCUUGGAAAGUAAGCUCAUUGAGGGCUGGCACCAUUGUCUUUCUAUUUGCAGCCCUGGUCUACCACAGAAGGAAGUGGUGCUGUGCCACCAACACUCCUGCCCUCCGCCCCUGGCUGCCAACACACCACUCUCCCUUCUGCUAGCAAGAUCUGCCUGGCUCACCAUGAAAACAUCAAGCAAGUGGCUAGCAACAUGCACUCCUUCCAUGGCUCCAUCUUACACCGACAUCUGCCAGUCCAAACCCCAAGUGACCUGCGUCUUUCCUCGGAUCUGCCAGCACCAUACAGUGUCUUCCUAAUGCAGACACAGUGUCUCCUAGAGCCAAUGUUUCAUUUCUCGAAGAAAAUGAACACAGCCUUUAGCCUUGGUGCAGUCUAUUCAAUCACCUCAAUUUCUCCCAGUGGCUUGGUCCUUUUCCUCCUGAUAUGGUGUCCAAAAUAAAUCCAAUUUCUCUGCUGAUCUGAAGCUCACAUCAAACUCUUUUCUUCCAGGCAUGUGAAUUACCGCAAAUACGUCCCCUGGGUUCAUCCCAAUUGAGCUACCUGACGCUCGGCACUGACAGUUUCGUCUCUUAGAAAGAAAAGGAUGUAAGAAUGGAGCUGCUACUCUGGACUUAAUUCUGACCAACAAGGAAGAACAAAUUGGUAAAGUAGAAGUGACAGGAAACUUGGGAGAAAGGGACCGUGUCAUGUUGGAGGUUAUUAUUUUGAAUGAAAGAAGCAUUAGAUAUAGUCAGACAUGUCGUUUUUGAAAUGUAGGUUUCAAAACAUUCAGACUGGUGCCAUAGACAGACUCUAAAAGAACAGUGACCAUAUUUACAAACCAAAAAUCAAGAUGUGUCACAGGCCAAGAGAUUUCACGUUGCAUCUGGUGCAAUGGGAAGUUUGAGGAAAAGAAGUCUAGAUAGAAAAACAAUGAUGCUAGCACGCAUUUCAAUAGCCUAUGGGAAUAACAGGACAGAUUAUCUAAAAUACUGUAUGCCUGAAAUUUUAUCACACUAGAACACUGAAAGAUGUUGAGAGGCCAUACUACCGGAAAUUCUUGGGAUGCAAUUAUAGUUAAUACCGUUUUAAAAGACAUGGAGACAUCUACAGAAAUCAAUGCAUCUGCACAGGGAGUUCUUUAACGAAUAUAGAUUUCAAAAGGAUGUCAGUAGUGGGGAGUGUCAAGGAAAGGUGUUAGAAAAAGGAUGACUUUGAAAAACAGAGGAAACAGCAAUUCAAAUUAACUUAAAGGAAAGAAACAUAAAAGUUCAUUAGGAGGGUGGGCUCCAGGCAUAGUCUGAGAGGGACACUUUCUAGGACUUCCUCCGUCCUACCCUCCCUGUGUGCUGGCUUUACGCUCAGGCUGGAUGAAAUUGGAUAAUACAGUCAUCCCUAAACCGAUCACUGAGGAGAAUGGUUUCAUAAAAUUAUAGUCAAAUAAUCACCUAGGAUAUACUGGGUAUAAAGGAUAUAAUGGAUGUUGAGGAAUCAGUCAGAAUAAUCACUACAGAUGGGCACAUAGCCAGGGAGAAAUGCCAGAGUGGUAUAUACUGAUAAGAACAGCAUCUAGAGGUCACAGCUAAUAAUGAGCUGAGGUGACAUUGGAAAGGACAACACCAAUGUUCUCCCAGAUAUAUUUGUAUGAAUAGGACAAAGAAGCAACCUGCUCGAGGCAAACAGGGCAAUGUCAGACAAAGACACAAGACAGGCAUUGCCACUCAGUCCCUGUGUUGCCUCUGUCUUCAUCAGAAAGAUGGAGAAAUUAUCGGUCAGAAGACACUGGCCAGAAGAUAGUGUGAGAUGAGAAAAACAUCCCCAGACACUCUCAAUGAUCUCUGGGUUUUAGAUUCAGACAAGUUUCA